AGGUUACUGCUAUCGAGGUUCGACUAAGCCAUGCGAGUCGAAUGUAGCAAUACAUGGCGUACUGCUCAGUAACACGUGGACAACCUACCCUUAGGACGGGGAUAAACCCGGGAAACUGGGUAUAAUACCCGAUAGUCCUCGGCUGCUGGAAUGCACCGAGAACUAAAGCUCCGGCGCCUAAGGAUGGGUCUGCGGCCUAUCAGGUAGUAGUGGGUGUAGCGUACCUACUAGCCUACGACGGGUACGGGUUGUGAGAGCAAGAGCCCGGAGAUGGAUUCUGAGACACGAAUCCAGGCCCUACGGGGUGCAGCAGGCGCGAAAACUUUACAAUGCUGGAAACAGCGAUAAGGGGACCUCGAGUGCCAGGUUACAAAUCUGGCUGUCGUGAUGCCUAAAAAGCAUUGCAUAGCAAGGGCCGGGCAAGACCGGUGCCAGCCGCCGCGGUAACACCGGCGGCUCGAGUGGUAACCGUUAUUAUUGGGUCUAAAGGGUCUGUAGCCGGCCGGAUAAGUCUCUUGGGAAAUCUGGCAGCUUAACUGUCAGGCUUUCAGGAGAUACUGUCUGGCUCGAGGCCGGGAGGGGUGAGAGGUACUUCAGGGGUAGGGGUGAAAUCUUGUAAUCCUUGAAGGACCACCAGUGGCGAAGGCGUCUCACCAGAACGGACCUGACGGCAAGGGACGAAAGCUAGGGGCACGAACCGGAUUAGAUACCCGGGUAGUCCUAGCCGUAAACGAUACUCGCUAGGUGUCGGCCACGGUGCGACCGUUGUCGGUGCCGUAGGGAAGCCGUGAAGCGAGCCACCUGGGAAGUACGGCCGCAAGGCUGAAACUUAAAGGAAU
rnacentral:rRNA from 1 species